rfam:Myotis lucifugus cont2.11338, whole genome shotgun sequence.
GGUGGUUCUCAGGUGAUGCACCCCGGAAUCAGAAUCGGGCUCCCUCCUCUGGUUCCAGGUCCAUCACCCAAGAACCUCA